AUCUAUCCUGCAUUUUGAAGAUAAGUGUUAAACGUGAAGCGUCUUAUUUUUGUAGGUGAUGGACAAAGUAACUUUAUGCGAGCAGGCGCUUCAAAUCACAUUACCGAACAGCUGUUAAAAGUGAGACUGUAUAAUAAUGACGCGACCUCUAUGGGGGAGAUAAUUUCUGGUCACCAUUGGAAGAGAAACAAAACACUAAACAUGAAGUUAUCAAUCCUGUUUGUUGCCGUCUUGACUACCAUCAAGCCUGGUAUAGGUAAUGUACAAUUAUUGAAUAUGUUUAUCAUAUACUCACUGACACAUACAUGUAUUCCCCGU
rnacentral:lncRNA from 1 species